rnacentral:rRNA from 1 species
UGCAGAAUCUCGUGAACCAUUGAGUCUUUGAACGCAAGUUGUGCCCAAGGCUUUGUGGCCGAGGGCACGCCUGCUUGGGCGUCAUGGCAACAUCGCCUUUGCUCCUUGCUUUGCUGGUGCGAAGAGCGGAAAUUGGCCUCGUGUGCCCUCGGGCACAGUCGGUCGAAGAGCGGGUAGUCGGCAGUCGUCGGGCGCGAUGGGUGCUGGUCACCCUGCGCGUGAAUAGAACGUCGCCCCGACGUGUUGGGAUGUUUCCUCAAAGAGACCCUGUGCGAUUGCGGCAUCAUGUCAAAGUGACGUGCCCAUCGGAUUGUGGCCCCAAGUCAGGCGAGGCCCACCCGCCGAGUUUAAGCAUAUAAAUAAGCGGAGGAAGAGAAACUUACGAGGAUUCCCCUAGUAACGGCGAGUGAACCGGGAUCGGCCCAGCUUGAGAAUUUGACGGUUGAAUCCGUUCGAGUUGUAGUCUGAAAAAAAGCAAAUG